GUCCCUACGGGGCGCAGCAGUAGAGAAUUUUCGUCAAUGGGCGCAAGCCUGAACCAGCCAAGUCGCGUGAGGGAAUAAGGCCCUACGGGUCGUAAACCUCUUUUGCCGGGGAGCAAGGGCCGGGACGCGUCCCGGCCCGGAGAGUACCCGGAGAAAAAGCAUCGGCUAACUCCGUGCCAGCAGCCGCGGUAAUACGGAGGAUGCGAGCGUUAUCCGGAUUUAUUGGGUUUAAAGGGUGCGUAGGCGGGCUUUUAAGUCAGCGGUAAAAAUUCGGGGCUCAACCCCGUCCGGCCGUUGAAACUGGG
rnacentral:rRNA from 1 species